CCUACGGGAGGCAGCAGUGGGGAAUUUUCCGCAAUGGGCGCAAGCCUGACGGAGCAACGCCGCGUGAGGGAUGGAGGCCUCUGGGCUGUAAACCUCUUUUCUCAAGGAAGAAGACCUGACGGUACUUGAGGAAUAAGCCACGGCUAAUUCCGUGCCAGCAGCCGCGGUAAUACGGGAGUGGCAAGCGUUAUCCGGAAUUAUUGGGCGUAAAGCGUCCGCAGGCGGCCUAUUAAGUCUGUCGUUAAAGCGUGGAGCUCAACUCCAUUUAAGCGAUGGAAACUGGAAGGCUAGAGUGUGGUAGGGGCAGAGGGAAUUCCCGGUGUAGCGGUGAAAUGCGUAGAUAUCGGGAAGAACACCAGUGGCGAAGGCGCUCUGCUGGGCCAUAACUGACGCUCAUGGACGAAAGCCAGGGGAGCGAAAGGGAUUAGAUACCCUGUAGUCCUGGCCGUAAACGAUGAACACUAGGUGUCGGGGGAAUCGACCCCCUCGGUGUCGUAGCUAACGCGUUAAGUGUUCCGCCUGGGGAGUACGCACGCAAGUGUGAAACUUAAAUGAAUUGACGG
rnacentral:rRNA from 1 species